AUCACUCGGCUCGUGGAUCGAUGAAGAACGCAGCCAACUGUGCGUCAU
rnacentral:rRNA from 1 species